ensembl:snRNA U4 U4 spliceosomal RNA
AGCUUUGCGCAGUGGCAGUAUCGUAGCCAAUGAGCUUUAUCUGAGGCGCGAUUAUUGCUAAUUGAAGACUUUUCCCAAUACCCCGCCAUGACAACUUGCAAUACAGUCAGCACUGACAAUUUUUGACAGUCUCUACGGGGA